GCCCGCGGUGCCGCGCCGACUUCGUUGCACGCCGCAAACGCCGAUCGACGCUCGAUCGUCUACUUCUCGCGGACGAGCAACGAGAUCGUCGUUUGCAAGAUGGAUCGACUUACGAGCCGGAGAAGGCGUGGUAUUUUUCCACGGGCAGAGGCGGCCGACGUUUUUUGGUCGGAAGACGAUCGGCUCUGCUCCGGGCAGAGGUUCGCGAGACAAGUCUGUCGGAGACAUUGAUUGGCGAGCGACGGGAGCCGCGCGGUCGAGGGGUGCCCGGCCACCCCAGUGAAAUGCCCUAGCCCGCGGGGCAAAACGGUCUGCGCGAUUUUUCCAGCGUUGAAACUCGCCUGCGCGCGCGGUCGAUAAGUCAUCGUCCGUUUCACGCUUCGCGCGCUUCUCCGAGUCAAGAAAUCGCGUUCCGUCGCUCACGCGGCCAAAGAUUCUAUGCAAAUUCAUCGGGAAUAAUAAUUUGACGUAUUAACGGCGGGCAAACCGACGGAAAGCGUGUUUCACCGGUUGGUUCUUGGCCGGAAGAGAGUCGGGGAUGAGAGUCGGUCGAACGGAAACAAGGCGCGAAGUUUAUUCGCGUUUGGCUGGCGUCCAAAUUUUCCUCGAAAUAAAAACGGCGUAACGCUUCGUUAAGUUGGUCGGUCG
rnacentral:misc_RNA from 1 species